rnacentral:misc_RNA from 1 species
UUUGCUUGUUCUAGGUAUGGUACCAAGCGAGAGUAUGACAAGUCCUUUAAUCGACCACGUGCCAGACAAAACAAGCAAGACCCUGAAAAUGGUACUGGCCGGCGAUCAUGUUCAAAGACAGACUGCAAAGCAAGCAUGCAUGUUAGAAGACCAGAUGGAAAAUGGGUUAUCCAUAGUUUUGUUAAGGAGCACAACCAUGAGCUUUUACCUGCCCAAGCUGUGAGUGAACAAACCAGAAAGAUGUAUGCUGCAAUGGCUAGACAAUUUGCUGAAUAUAAAAAUGUUAUUGGUUUGAAGAAU